AUGGUGGAGAUGGAGGAGGGGGCGCGGCAGCGGGUGGUGGUGGAGGUGUGCAACGCGCGGAACCUGAUGCCCAAGGACGGCCAGGGCACGGCGUGCGCCUACGCCGUCGUCGACUUCGACGGCCAGCGCCGCCGCACGGCCACGCGCCCGCGCGACCUCAACCCGCACUGGGGCGAGCGCCUCGAGUUCCCCGUCCACCACCCGGGCGCCAUGGCCGACACGCUCGAGCUCAACGUCUACAACGACAAGAAGGCCGUCGCCGGGUCCGGCCGCCGCGGGGGCACCUUCCUCGGCAAGGUCAAGGUCGCCGCCGCCUCCUUCGCCCGGGCCGGCGACGAGGCGCUCGUCUACUACCCGCUCGAGAAGCGCAGCGUCUUCUCGCAGAUCAAGGGCGAGAUCGGCCUCAAGAUUUGGGUCGUCGACGACCCUCCGCCGCCCGCCCCUGCUGCCCCUGCCCCCGCGCCGGAGGGCGAGAAGGCUCAGGCCGGUGAUGCCGCCCCUGCGGACAAGAAGGAGUCCGCCGAGGCUGCUGCUGCUGCUCCUGCCGCUGCCGACGAGAAGAAGCCGGAGGCUGCGGCGGCGCCCGCGGAAGAGAAGAAGGCGCAGGACGCCAAACCAGAGGAGAAGAAGGCUGAGGAGGCCGGCAAGAAGAAGUCGCCGGAGAAGGGGAAGAAGAAGGACGGCGACAAGCCCAAAGACGGCGAGAAGCCCAAGGAGGAGGGCAAGAAGGAGGUGGCGGUGCCUCCUUCCCCGUCCAAGGCCCCGCCGCCCUCACCGUCCAAGAUGCAGCUGGCCACGGCGGGGGUCGCCGGCGAUCUCGAGAUCCUUCCCCAGACCGCCGCGGAGCGGAGCAUGGCCUCCUCGGGCGGCGGCAGCGCGUCGUACGACUUGGUGGACCGCGUGCCAUACCUGUUCGUCCGGCUUCUCAAGGCCAAGAAGAAUCAAGACGGCGGCGACCGGCAGCCGCUCUACGCGCAGCUCUGCAUCGGCGCUCACGCCGUGCGGACGCGAGCCGCGACGACCGCCGGCGAGUGGGACCAGGUGUUCGCGUUCCACAAGGCCAGCCUCACCGCCUCCUCCCUAGAGGUCACCGUGCACGAGGAGGCCAAGAAGCCGGAGAAGGAGGGCGAGGCCGCCCCGCCGGACGCGCACCUCGGCUUCGUCUCCUUCGACCUGCAGGAGGUGCCCAAGCGCUCGCCGCCGGACAGCGCGCUCGCGCCGCAGUGGUACACCCUGGAGGGCCACGCCGAGGACGGCGCCGCCCCGGCCUGCGACGUCAUGCUCGCCGUCUGGGUCGGCACGCAGGUCGACGAGGCGUUCCAGGAGGCCUGGCAGUCCGACUCCGGCGGCAACCUCGUCCACACCCGCUCCAAGGCCUACCUCUCCCCCAAGCUGUGGUACCUCCGCCUCAGCGUCAUCCAGGCGCAGGACCUGCGCCUGCCAUCGCCGCCGGACGCCGCCAAGGCCAAGCAGCAGCACUUCGGCCCCACCUUCCCGGAGCUGUACGUCAAGGCGCAGCUCGGCGCCCAGGUGUUCAAGACGGGCCGCAUCGCGCUCGGCAGCGCCGCGGCCGGGGCGUCCAACCCGAGCUGGAACGAGGACCUGCUCUUCGUCGCCGCCGAGCCGUUCGACCCUUUCCUGACGGUCGCCGUGGAGGACGUCUUCUCCGGGCAGCUCGUCGGGCAGGCGCGCGUGCCGCUCUCCACGGUGCACCGCCGCUCCGACGACCGCGUCGAGCCGCCCUCGCGCUGGCUCAACCUGUGCGGCGACGAGGCCCGGCCCUACGCCGGCCGGGUGCACGUCCGCGUCUGCCUCGAGGGCGGCUACCACGUGCUGGACGAGGCGGCCAACGUGGCCAGCGACGUGCGCGCCGCCUCUAAGCAGCUCUCCAAGCCGCCCGUGGGCAUGCUGGAGGUGGGCGUCCGCGGCGCCUCCAACCUGGUGCCCAUGAAGAUCGCCAAGGACGGCGCCAGCGGCUCCACCGACGCCUACGUCGUGCUCAAGUACGGGCCCAAGUGGGCGCGCACGCGCACCAUCCUCGACCACUUCAACCCGCGCUGGAACGAGCAGUACGCCUGGGACGUCUUUGACCCAUGCACCGUGCUCUCCAUCGCCGUCUUCGACAACGCCAGGUACAAGACGGUGGACGCCGGGAAGCCGCCGCCCAAGGACGCGCGCAUCGGCAAGCUCCGCAUCCGGCUCUCGACGCUGGACACCAACCGGGUCUACUCCAUCAACUACGCGCUCACCGCGGUGCACCCCGUCGGCGUGCGCAAGAUGGGCGAGCUGGAGCUGGCCAUCCGCUUCACCUGCCCGUCCUGGCUCACGCUCAUGCAGGCGUACGGGAGCCCGCUGCUGCCGCGCAUGCACUACGUCAAGCCGCUGGGCCCGGCGCAGCAGGACGUGCUGCGCCACACCGCCAUGCGCAUCGUGUCGACCCGGCUCGCGCGCUCCGAGCCGCCGCUGGGGCCGGAGGUGGUGCAGUACAUGCUCGACACCGACACGCACGCCUGGAGCAUGCGCCGGAGCAAGGCCAACUGGUUCCGCGUCGUCGGCUGCCUCUCGCACCUCGCCACCGCCGUGCGCUGGGGCCACCGGGUGCGCGUCUGGGAGCACUCGCCCACCACCGUCCUCGUCCACAUGCUGCUCGUCGCCGUCGUGCUCUGCCCGGAGAUGAUCCUCCCCACCGUCUGCCUCUACCUCUUCCUCGUCCUGCUCUGGCGCUACCGCUGGCGCCCCCGCCAGCCGGCCGGCAUGGACCCGCGCCUCUCCCACGUCGACAGCGUCAGCCCCGACGAGCUGGACGAGGAGUUCGACGGCCUCCCCUCGGCCCGCCCCGCUGACGUGGUGCGGGCGCGGUACGACCGGCUGCGCGCCGUGGCCGGGCGCGCGCAGACGCUGCUGGGCGACGUGGCGGCCCAGGGGGAGCGCGUGGAGGCGCUGCUGUCGUGGCGCGACCCGCGCGCGACGGGGGUCUUCGCCGUGGCAUGCCUGCUGGCCGCGCUGGUGCUCUACGCCGUGCCGUUCAAGGCGCUGCUGCUGGGCAUGGGCUUCUUCUACCUCCGGCACCCCAGGUUCCGCGGCGACAUGCCCUCCGCCGGCUUCAACUUCUUCCGCCGCCUGCCGUCGCUCUCCGACCGGGUGCUCUAG
rnacentral:rRNA from 1 species